rnacentral:rRNA from 1 species
GCGGAGGAAAAGAAACUAACAAGGAUUCCCUUAGUAACGGCGAGUGAACCGGGAAAAGCUCAAAUUUGUAAUCUGGCUGUCUUCGAUAGUCCGAGUUGUAAUCUAUAGACGUGUUUUCCGUGCUGGACCGUAUCUAAGUCCCUUGGAACAGGGUAUCAAAGAGGGUGACAAUCCCGUGCUUGAUACGACCACCAGUGCUCUGUGAUACACGCUCUACGAGUCGAGUUGUUUGGGAAUGCAGCUCAAAAUGGGUGGUAAAUUCCAUCUAAAGCUAAAUAUUGGCGAGAGACCGAUAGCGAACAAGUACCGUGAGGGAAAGAUGAAAAGCACUUUGGAAAGAGAGUUAAACAGUACGUGAAAUUGUUGAAAGGGAAACGAUUGAAGUCAGUCGUGUUCUUUGGAUUCAGCUAGUUCUUCUAGUCUACUUCCUUUGAACGGGUCAACAUCAGUUUUGUCCGGUGGAUAAAGAUAGUAGGAAUGUAGCUCCCUCGGGAGUGUUAUAGACUAUUAUUGCAUGCACUGGGUGAGACUGAGGACUGCAGCUCGCCUUUUGGCCGACCUUCGGGUACGUUCGAGCUUAGGAUGUUGACAUAAUGGCUUUAAACGACCCGUCUUG